AUUUAAGAUUAAAGGGUACACUACAUAACUGUAAUUUCUUUGAUUUGAAAUAACUCUAUAUGUGUUACUGUUUUGGAUAAUUGAAACUAGAGCUUGUAACGUAAUAAUGUGAAUCAUAUCAAGCAGGGGAGAACUACGAUAUCAUCAACAAUUAAAACCGCACAACAUGCGGUGGCGGCAGUGCGCGGCUGCGUGCACGUGAUUAGCACUGGCAGCAUGGCAGCUUACCUUCUGUUGCUCCUCCUCUGCCUCGUCCACUGCCACACCAAGACCGUGCUGCAGGAUAAACUUGCGGGUGUCCGCACAGUGGACGUACAGG
rnacentral:misc_RNA from 1 species